CACGGACACACGGUGUGGCCCGAAACAGCGGCAGGAGAGUGAGACCCGGGCUCCGACCGCGGUGACGGAGUCUCACUCUGUCACCCAGGCUGGAGUGCAGUGGCACGAUCUCGGCUCACUGGAACCUUCAACUCCCUGGUUCAAGCGAUUCUCCUGCCUCAGCCUCCCGAAUAGCUGGGACUACAGGUGCCCGCCACCACACCUGGCUAAUUUUUUGUAUUUUUAGUGGAGACGGGGUUUCACCGUGUUAGCCAGGAGGGUCUCAGUCUCCUGACCUGGUGAUCCGCCCGCCUCGGCCUCCCAAAGUGCUGGGAUUACAGGCAUGAGCCACUGCGCCCGGCCUAAAAAUUUUUUAAAUUGUAUACAUUAUGUUUUUUUACCACAAUUUAAAAAAUUAAUUUAUAAUAUACAUGCAGAAAAAUGCACAAAUGACAAGUAUAUAUCUUGAUGAAUUUUCACAAAUGGAAUACAUUUGUGUAACCAGCAGCAGAUCAAGAAACGGAACAUUGCUAGUGCCCCAGAAGCCACUUGUGUGUUCCCUCUCAGUCACUGCUCUUCUCAAGGACAACCACUCUUCUGACUCCUGAUACCAUAAACUAAUUUUGCCUGUUCUUGCUUUUUAUAUAAAGAGAACCACAGAGUCUGUACUCAUUUGUGUCUGGCUUCCUUUGUUCAAAUUAUUUCUGUGAGAUUCAGCCAUAUUGUGUAUAGUUUUAGUCCCUUCAUUCUGACUACUGUGUAGUAUAAUAUUGUGAGGCUAUAUUGAACCAUAAUUUACUUUUCUAUUCUGUUACUGUUAUUUUGGCUGGAAUCACAUAUUUUUAGAUUAUCUAAAGGAGAAUGUAUGAUAAGAAUCUUCCUAUCUUCCUAUACAUUCAAGUCAUUGGUGCCCCGUCAGUAGAAUUUUAGUUUUCAUUAUGUAGAAUUUACAUACUUCUUAUUAAAAUUAUUCCUAGGUAUUGAGUGCCUUGAUUGCUAUAGCUAUUUUUACUUUAAAAAAAGUUAAAUGGUAGUUCAAAUCCAAGGAAGAAUGUGUCCAGUGUUGCUAUAAAAAUACAGACCUACUUUAUGGGUCCAUCCUCUUCUAGCUCCAGUGAAGGUGGGAUGGGCAAAAAAGAGGAAAUGAAGUCCAAAAAGGGGGUUACACUUUAUAGUUAAACCACAAGAGGAAUUUAUUUCUUUUUUAAGACAGAGUCUUGCUCUGUUGCCAAGGCUUGAGGCAAUAGCAUGAUCUCUACUCACUGCAACCUCCACCUCCCGGGCUCAAGCGAUCCUCCUGCCUCAGCCUCCCAAGUAGCUGAGACUACAGACAUGCACUACCACACCUGGCUAAUUUUUGUCUUUUUAGCAGAGAUGGGGUUUCACCAUGUUGCCCAGGCUGGUCUCCAGCUCCUGGGCUCAAGGCAUCCACCUGCCUUAGCCUCUCAAAGUUCUGGGAUUACAGGAGUGAGUCAGUAUGCUCAGCCUCACAGGAGGAAUUUCUUAAUCAGAGCAGUGAAAAGCCAGGUGGCAUCACUUUUCCUGGAUUUUUUUUUUUUUUUGAGAUGGAGUCUCACUCUAUCAUCCAGGCUGGAGUGCAGUGGCACGAUCUUGGCCCACUGCAACCUCUGCCUCCCGGGUUCAAAUGAUCUUCCUGCCUCAGCCUCCCGAAUAGCUGGGAUUAUAGGUGCACACCACCACACCCGGCUAAUUUUUGUAUUUUUAGUAGAGAUGGGGUCUCACCAUGUUGCCCAGGCUGAUCUUGAACUCCUGAUCUCAGGUGAUCCACCUGCCUCAGCAUCCCAAAGUGCUGGGAUUACAGGUGUGAGCCACUGUGAUCUUAUUUUAAAAUCAGACUGAAUUCUAACUUGCUGGGUAGGGAGGUUGGGGAGCAGAAGAAAUAACUUCGAGUGAGCUGAUGCCAAACUCACCCUCAAGUCACUGUACAUUUGGGAUUUGUCAUCUCAUUUCUCCUCUCAGAUCCCAAAUCAGGAUUGAAAGAUUGAAUUGUGAGAUGCUGGGAUUGAGUGAAUUGUAAUUUCUUUAUUCUCAUCUCCAGUCCUAAGAGUCUAUUCUCUUUCCCUGAAGGGUGUUCUGAACAGGCUGUGGGAGGCAUUAGGUGGAGUGAGUUAAGAUAAGGUCUGGGUUGCCCAGAGGGUUCAGUGAGCGGGUGUUCCCUUUAGUAAACUGAAGCAGGAAAGUAGAUCUUAGCUAGGGAUCUGGGCAGUGAGGGGCUCUCAAACACAAGGAGCCUGGCUCCAGAGCCUUGGCUGCCCACAGAGUUCCCUCCCUGUACAACAUACGAAUGAUUCAUUCAAGUGCUGUUCAGCUGUCUGAGUCUGAAAAACAGCACUCAUCUCUCCUGUUGCCCAUCGUAGGAGUCACCCCCUCCUCCCCACUUAAACCUCUUCACCAGAAACCAGCGACUGGGAGCAGAGCCUUAGUGUCCUCACUUAUGCUGGUGCUACUAUUCAAUCUUUAGGCCAGAUUUAAUUGUGGCAGAUGCCCUAGGAAAGAAUUCUCCUCAGCCUCUCUGACCACCACCACCCAGCUCUAUCUUCCUACUUAAUUCCCCUUACGAAGCAAUUUGGAGGAACAGGACCCAGGAGUCCCUGUUUUCAGAUACUCUCCAGCCUGAGUCACCACCGUACUGACUUCUUACAGCAAGAGUUCCACCCAAAGUCUCUUGCCUCUCCCUCAGAUGGGUGCUGGUGGGAGAAGGGGACAGGGGAGGAGAGAAUGAUGGAGCAUUUUUGUGUGUUUUCUUGCUGGGCCCAUUGUAAUACCUGCUCUUACCUGUGCUAACAUCCACUUUGAAUGGUAGUCCUUCUCAGCCUUUUCUCUUUGCCUCUAAUGGACCCUGGGGAGCAAAGGUGGCCUGAGGCCUCAGAGUUUCCGCUGCAACCUGUGGCUUCUUAUAGCAGAAUUUUUAACCUAUAUUCUGUGGAGUCUGUGAUGGCUUCAGAAUAACUGGAUAAUUUACAAACAUUUUUGUUCAUAGCUUGCAUCAGGGAUUCUCAGAGGGAUCUGUGACUCAAAAAAGUUGAGGAUCAUUGCUUAGCCGGGCUCUCAUCUCCUGAAUCAGAGAUCCAGCACAGCACAGGAAAUAGAAGUCAGAAAUAGAGAAAGAUUAUAUCGGGGACGGAAAUGUGAAGUGCUGAGAUGGUGCCACAGCAUCUUUGGGUCCAGAGUUCUCCCUCAGCUUAGGUCGUGUCCUGCAACUGAAAGGCCCUGGGAGAGAGAGCCCUGAGGGCGUGGCAGUGAGGAUGGCAGUGUGGUGGAAAGGGGGAGUUUUCAAUCAGACAGCCAUGAGCUCAAAUAGCUAGUUACUAUUUACUAACUAGCUCUGUGCACUUGAGCACUUACUCUAUUUGACCUUUAGUUUCACCAGCUAAGAUGCCUCCCUACUUUAUAGGGUUGAUGUAAGGAUUAAAUAAGAAAAUAUAUAUAAAGCCACUGACAUAGAAUAGGCCCUCAAUAAAUGUUAUUUUCUUCUCUUUGAACUGCUGUCCCACCCUGGGCAGAGCCUCCAUUAGAUUGUCCCCAUGAUGUGGUACCAUACAUCCCUGCACAUGGGCCACAAAACUUCUGCAUACACACCACCCACUCAUGUCCUUGGCUGCAUUUGCACACUCAUCAGCACACACACAGCAGCCUGUGCCAUCACAGCUGAGUUGAGGGCAGUCUUCCCAACAGGUAAGAUGAGGGACUGGCAUGCUAAUGCUUGGACAAGCUGUGGAAGUGCUCAUCAUAGUAAGCUUGUUACCUGAAUGGGCUUCACCCCUCAAAAGUGUUCUGGUAAAGCUGUGAAAGGAGACUAAGGGGCUGUGGUGGGACUAACUCCAUAGGCAUUUCCUUGAGAUUAAAUGUGUUUCUUGAGGGAUACUUUGUCCACCCACCACUGCCAAGGAGACCUUAGUCUAUGCCCCGGGUUGCAAUGUCUGAAGCUUUGCUGUCCAAAACGGUAGCCAUUGGCCACAUGUGGCUAUUGAAUGCUUGUAAAGGUAGGUGGUACAGCUGAGGAAUGGAAUUUUAAAUUUAUUUAAUUUAAAAUUUAAGACAGAGAUUCAAUUCAGUUAUUGGAAAAUGUUUUAUGUUUGAAAAAACUUAGAUGUGUGAAUCCACUUUCUCAACAGUGACCUGUAUGAAAUAUAGAUUUUUCUGGUGAAAAUUUAGUAACUGAAUUGCGAUGUUGAGAUGUACUGUAAGUGUAAAACAUA